AUGACUAAACUAGCAUGUAAAGUGGAUCCUUGUAGUUGGAUUAAGCAUGCCCCUGCUAGGAUAAUUUGUGGACUCCAAAUUGUAGAUAAGAUGGAUGACUUUUGAAAAGUUCUGGGCUUUUUUGUAUGUUAGGUAGACUUUGAAAUUUUCCUUCAUGAGAUUGUCCAAAGGGAAUUGAUUUUAUUUUUUUUGUAUGUGUAGAGUUUCUGAACAUAUUUAGGGAUUACUUCUUUGAGAGACUACUCAAACUAUUAGAAGAAACAUACAAUACUGUAAUUCCCAUGAGGAAAUCCAGAAUUGAGCUAAAGUCGAUCACUUAUAUAAAUUCAUUUUGUUGUAGAGUGGAUGCUAGCUAAGUUAACUAUGAGCGGAAUAGCUAAGUUCUCCUUUCCUUGGGAGCAUUCUAAACCUCUUCCCAUAUUUUGAAAGCAGAUAAAGUUUUGUUUAGAACACAGUGUCUGAAGCACCAUAAUCUGAUUCUGAACCACUUUGGGAUUCAUUGAACCACCUCUAGAAUGGCAUAACCUACAAGAAAGUUUGACAGUCCAAUGGAAACAGAACCAUUCUACAUUCCAUUCCAUUGUAGUCAUCCCUAGAGCUGAAGAUUUUGAGUUCAGCUAUUAUAUGUUAUUGUAACUGAAAUCAAGGGUAGAGUAACUCUGACCCUCCAGAUAUCGCUUAGGUACAACACCCAGCUAUCUUAAACAGCUUAGACAGUUGUGAGUUGUAGGUCAACAAUUCUUGAAGGCUUACAUAUUUUUUUUAUCCCUGACCUAAUUAAUUAUUCUGAACAAACUGCAGAACAGUAU